CUCAGUAGUAGUGUGCUUGUCUAUCCUGUGCAAGGGACUGGGUUCCAUCCCCAGCACUGAAAGAAAAAAGUAAAUUAAAUCCAUACCCUUAAUAGGAGAGGAGGGGAUACCUCAGGGGUGGUGGUGGAAUCUGAUCAACUGGUGGCAAAACCAAAAAGCUUUUUUCAGCACCUGGCUUCAAUAGCAUGAUGGCAUGCUGACUGCUAGAUGGCUGCAUGGUGACUCUGGCACUGGCCAGCUCAUGCCCAGCUAUGCAGCCCAGGGAGGCCUCUCUAGCUGUAAUACUCACACUCUCCCCAGGGUGCCACUGGGAAAAGCUGCUCUGGAUCUAGUUCCAGCUACUAUUCCUGGUUCCCUUGGGUCCUGGCCUGGCUCAAUCCCUCCUCUGGACUGGGGCUUCCUAGACCCUGAGGAGAGGUGGGUGGAGCUCUGGUUUGUCAUCUCACUCCCAGGAUGUCAGCUCAUAGAUCCUCACCAUAUGGAAAGCUGAGGCUCAAGGAAAGGCAGCUAAGCUUGCUCAAGAUCCACAGCAAAGUCAGCAAGUGAAACCAGAAUGGCCAGGAAUUUGAGUGGCUCUGCACCCAGCCAAGCCUUUCCUCCUAUGGCUGGGCCUGCCUGGGCCUGGCCUGGGCUCCACACUGUCUGGGCCAGCUGGGGCUGCUCCAAGGAAUUCUCAAUGCCAGGUUUACUUCUGUGCUGUAUCUCCUGAGCCUGGUUAUGGCCACUGAGUGGCUGCCUGUAGUCGGGUGCUAGCCUGUCACCUGCCUCUGUCCACCAGGGGACUCUUGCCCUAGGCAGGGAAGUGUCUCCCUACAGGUGCCACUCUGAGCAGGCUCUUCCUCUCACCUGGAAAGUAGGCAGGGUAGGAAGGGAUAGGUGGAACGACUUGCCUACAUACAGGGGCGGUUAAUGAAGACUCCAUAUUCUGUUGGUUCCCAGCACUGGGGACACUGAGGCAUAUCAGAACAAGUCUCAGCACUGGAGUCCUCAGUAAGGUGAGGGAACUCCAAGGAGAGAGCAGGAAUUGGAGCACAGUGACUUAAAACACUCUGGUUCAGAGAUGGCAAAAGUGACUGUGGACCCACAGAUGGUGCCUGCCACAGUAGAGGGCCAGAUAAUACUAGAAGAAGUGACCUGAAAGAUGGCAGUCUCAGGAACAGGAAAUCAAAUGUAUAGAUGCCAGGAGUGGGAUGGGCAAUAGAGGGCACACACGGUUGAAUAUGAACUUAAAACAGAGUGGGAAUUAAGGAACACAAAAUUAGAGAGCAGAGGCCACAGCGGAGUACUUGUUUGAGGUGACUAGGGAAGGUGUGCUAGUGGGAUAUUGAGAAUGACAUAAUCCCUCCCACCCAAUGAACAAUGGUUAUUUUCAGGCUCAGGAACAAAAUUUGGUGGUCUUAAUAGCUCUACUGUAGUCAUGGCCAUGGAUAAAUACAUGCAGGGAGAGUAGCAAAACAGAAAUGAG
rnacentral:lncRNA from 1 species